rnacentral:rRNA from 1 species
UACGUAGGGUGCGAGCGUUGUCCGGAAUUACUGGGCGUAAAGAGCUCGUAGGUGGUUUGUCGCGUUGUUCGUGAAAACUCACAGCUUAACUGUGGGCGUGCGGGCGAUACGGGCAGACUGGAGUACUGCAGGGGAGACUGGAAUUCCUGGUGUAGCGGUGGAAUGCGCAGAUAUCAGGAGGAACACCGGUGGCGAAGGCGGGUCUCUGGGCAACAACUGACGCUGAGGAGCGAAAGCGUGGGGGAGCGAACAGG